AAAAGUUACGAAGGGCGUAUGGGGGAUGCCUUGGCUUCCGGGAGCGAAGAAGGACGUGGUAAGCUGCGAAAAUUGCCGGGGAUUAGCAAACAUGAGUUGAUCCGGCAGUCUCCGAAUGGGACAACCCACCGGGCUGAAGGCCCGGUACCACCUUUAGGGGUGGGGCAGACGCAGGGAACUGAAACAUCUAAUUACCUGCAGGAAAAGAAAGAAAAAUCGAUUCUCUGAGUAGUGGCGAUCGAAAGGAGAAGAGCCUAAACCGGCGUUGUUUCGGCAAUGUCGGGGUUGAAGGACCCGAGACAAGACAAUAAUAAUGAAGCGGAAGUUAUCUGGAAAGGUAUACCGCAGGGCGUGAAAGUCGCGUACGUGUAAGUUGUUGUUGUUGAUUGGGAAUCCUAAGUAGGGCGGGACACGAGGAAUCCUGUCUGAAUCUACGGGGACCAUCCCGUAAGGCUAAAUACAACCGGAAGACCGAUAGUGAACCAGUACUGUGAAGGAAAGGUGAAAAGUACCCCGAACAGGGGGGUGAAAAAGAACCUGAAACCGUACGCCUACAAGCGGUCGGAGCAGAUAUAAGUCUGUGACGGCGUGCCUUUUGCAUAAUGAGCCUACGAGUUACUGUUGUUAGCGAGGUUAAGUACUUCAGGUACGGAGCCGAAGCGAAAGCGAGUCUGAACAGGGCGCUGAAGUUAGCAGUAGUAGACGCGAAACCUAGUGAUCUACCCUUGGCCAGGUUGAAGUAUCCGUAAAAGGAUAUGGAGGACCGAACCAGUAUCCGUUGAAAAGGAUUUGGAUGAGCUGAGGGUAGGGGUGAAAGGCUAAUCAAACUGGGAGAUAGCUCGUACUCCCCGAAAUGUCUUUUGGGACAGCCUCAAGCUACAGAGUUUACCGGAGGUAGAGCUACUGAUAGGAUGCGAGGGCUUCACCGCCUAUCAAAUCCUGACAAACUCCGAAUGCCGGUAAAUGAUGCUUGGGAGUGAGUUGGCGGGUGCUAAUGUCCGUCAGCGAGAGGGAAAGAGCCCAGACCACCAGCUAAGGCCCCUAAAGUGUGUUAAGUUGAAAGAACGAGGUGCGGUUGCCGAGACAGCUAGGAUGUUAGCUUGGAAGCAGCUAAUCAUUUAAAGAGUGCGUAACAGCUCACUAGUCGAGCGACUGUGCAUGGAUAAUAAGCGGGCAUCAAACACACUGCCGAAGCUAUGGACUUCAAAGAAGUGGUAGGGGAGCAUUCCAGAGGGCGUAGAAGGAUAACCUGUGAAGGUAUCUGGAGCGUCUGGAAAAGAAGAUGUAGGCAUAAGUAACGACAAUGCGGGUUAGAAACCUGCACACCGAAAGCCCAAGGGUUCCUGAUCAAUGCUAAACAGAUCAGGGUUAGUCAGGGCCUAAGGGGAAUCCGAGAGGAGAACCCGAUGGACAAAUGGUUAAUAUUCCAUUACCUGUAUGAAAUAGGGAAGGAGUGACGUAGGAGUGACAUGUACGCCGACUGACGGAAUAGUUGGUUGAAGCACGUAAGUAAAUCCGAAGAUUAAGAGUUAACGGAUGCAGAAGUGCGACAGUACCGCAAGGCUUCGGCUGCGCGGAUAGUUACAGUAAGCAGACUACCGAGAAAAGCUUCUACCCCCGUUACGUUUCAUACAGCCUGUACCGUAAACCGACACAGGUGGGCGAGGAGAGGAUCCUCAGGUGCUCGAGAGAAUCAUGGCCAAGGAACUCGGCAAAAUUACCCCGUAACUUCGGGAAAAGGGGACCCUAGCGAUAGGGCGCAGAGAAAUGGCCCAGGCGACUGUUUAACAAAAACAUAUGGCUUUGCGAAAUCGAAAGAUGAAGAAUAAGGCCUGACACCUGCCCGGUGCUGGAAGGUUAAGAGGGGGCGUUAGCCGCAAGGCGAAGCGCUGAAUUGAAGCCCCAGUAAACGGCGGCCGUAACUAUAACGGUCCUAAGGUAGCGAAAUUCCUUGUCGGGUAAGUUCCGACCUGCACGAAUGGUGUAACGAUCUGGGCACUGUCUCAGCCGUGAGCUCGGUGAAAUUGUAAUACCGGUGAAGAUGCCGGUUACCCGCAACGGGACGGAAAGACCCCGUGAACCUUUACUGCAACUUAGCAUUGAUUUUGGGUAAGUUAUGUGUAGGAUAGGCCGGAGACUAUGAAGUGGUGCCGCCAGGUAUCAUGGAGUCGCCGUUGAAAUACGGCCCUUGACUUGCCUGAAGUCUAAUCCCUCAGCGAGAGGGAGACAUUGCUUGGUGGGUAGUUUGACUGGGGUGGUCGCCUCCAAAAGAGUAACGGAGGCUCCCAAAGGUACCCUCAUGACGUUUGGCAAUCGUCAGU
rnacentral:rRNA from 1 species